rnacentral:rRNA from 1 species
GAGAGGAAGGUCCCCCACAUUGGUACUGAGACACGGACCAAACUCCUACGGGAGGCAGCAGUGAGGAAUAUUGGUCAAUGGCCGAGAGGCUGAACCAGCCAAGUCGCGUGAGGGAUGAAGGUUCUAUGGAUCGUAAACCUCUUUUAUAAGGGAAUAAAGUGCGGGACGUGUCCCGUUUUGUAUGUACCUUAUGAAUAAGGAUCGGCUAACUCCGUGCCAGCAGCCGCGGUAAUACGGAGGAUCCGAGCGUUAUCCGGAUUUAUUGGGUUUAAAGGGUGCGUAGGCGGCCUUUUAAGUCAGCGGUGAAAGUCUGUGGCUCAACCAUAGAAUUGCCGUUGAAACUGGGGGGCUUGAGUAUGUUUGAGGCAGGCGGAAUGCGUGGUGUAGCGGUGAAAUGCAUAGAUAUCACGCAGAACCCCGAUUGCGAAGGCAGCCUGCCAAGCCAUGACUGACGCUGUUGCACGAAAGCGUGGGGAUCAAACAGGAUUAGAUACCCUGGUAGUCCACGCAGUAAACGAUGAUCACUAGCUGUUUGCGAUACACAGUAAGCGGCACAGCGAAAGCGUUAAGU